CUGAUGGAGGGGGAUAACUACUGGAAACGGUAGCUAAUACCGCAUAACGUCGCAAGACCAAAGAGGGGGACCUUCGGGCCUCUUGCCAUCGGAUGUGCCCAGAUGGGAUUAGCUAGUAGGUGGGGUAACGGCUCACCUAGGCGACGAUCCCUAGCUGGUCUGAGAGGAUGACCAGCCACACUGGAACUGAGACACGGUCCAGACUCCUACGGGAGGCAGCAGUGGGGAAUAUUGCACAAUGGGCGCAAGCCUGAUGCAGCCAUGCCGCGUGUAUGAAGAAGGCCUUCGGGUUGUAAAGUACUUUCAGCGGGGAGGAAGGGAGUAAAGUUAAUACCUUUGCUCAUUGACGUUACCCGCAGAAGAAGCACCGGCUAACUCCGUGCCAGCAGCCGCGGUAAUACGGAGGGUGCAAGCGUUAAUCGGAAUUACUGGGCGUAAAGCGCACGCAGGCGGUUUGUUAAGUCAGAUGUGAAAUCCCCGGGCUCAACCUGGGAACUGCAUCUGAUACUGGCAAGCUUGAGUCUCGUAGAGGGGGGUAGAAUUCCAGGUGUAGCGGUGAAAUGCGUAGAGAUCUGGAGGAAUACCGGUGGCGAAGGCGGCCCCCUGGACGAAGACUGACGCUCAGGUGCGAAAGCGUGGGGAGCAAACAGGAUU
rnacentral:rRNA from 2 species